GGAGGGGUGGCAGAGUGGUCGAAUGCACUGGUCUUGAAAACCAGCGUGCCGAAGGGCACCCAGGGUUCGAAUCCCUGCCCCUCCGCCA
rnacentral:tRNA from 1 species